UACGUAGGGGGCGAGCGUUGUCCGGAUUUAUUGGGCGUAAAGCGCGCGCAGGCGGCCGCGUAAGUCGGGUGUGAAAACCUGGGGCUCAACCCCGGGCGUGCAUCCGAUACUGCGUGGCUCGAGACAGGUAGGGGAGAUCGGAAUUCCUGGUGUAGCGGUGAAAUGCGUAGAUAUCAGGAGGAACACCGGUGCGAAGGCGGAUCUCUGGGCCUGUUCUGACGCUGAGGCGCGAAAGCUAGGGGAGCGAACAGG
rnacentral:rRNA from 1 species